rnacentral:rRNA from 1 species
GGUGCAUGGUUGUCGUCAGCUCGUGUCGUGAGAUGUUGGGUUAAGUCCCGCAACGAGCGCAACCCUGCCUCUAGUUGCCAGCAUUCGGUUGGGCACUCUAGAGGGACUGCCGGCGACAAGUCGGAGGAAGGUGGGAUGACGUCAAAUCAUCAUGCCCUUAUGACCUGGGCUACACACGUGCUACAAUGGGCGGUACAAAGGGCUGCGAACCCGCGAGGGGGAGCGAAUCCCAAAAAGCCGCUCUCAGUUCGGAUUGCAGGCUGCAACUCGCCUGCAUGAAGCCGGAAUCGCUAGUAAUCGCGGAUCAGCAUGCCGCGGUCGAAUACGUUCCCGGGCCUU